GAUGAAGAACGUAGCGAAAUGCGAUAUGUAAUGUGAAUUGCAGAAUUCAGUGAAUCAUCGAAUCUUUGAACGCACAUUGCGCCCGUCAGUAUUCUGGCGGGCAUGCCUGUUCGAGCGUCAUUACGCCCCUCAAGUCCCCUGUGGACUUGGUGUUGGGGAUCGGCGAGGCUGGUUUUCCAGCACAGCCGUCCCUUAAAUUAAUUGGCGGUCUCGCCGUGGCCCUCCUCUGCGCAGUAGUAAAACACUCGCAACAGGAGCCCGGCGCGGUCCACUGCCGUAAAACCCCCCAACUUUUUAUAGUUGACCUCGAAUCAGGUAGGACUACCCGCUGAACUUAAGCAUAUCAAUAAGCGGAGGA
rnacentral:misc_RNA from 1 species